CUUAUUGCUUUGAUGAACUUCGCAAUCAACUCGAGGGUUUCGGACGGCAGCGGAGACCUCUGAACCUCACCUCACCUCACCUCGAGCUCAAACUCCCCACCAUCAUUCACCUCGGUAAAGAUGCUGUGAAGCCGAUGUGCUCAUUUUUCAGGUAGAGGCUCUGCUUCUCAACCACGAUCUAUCCUGCAAGUUCCUGAACCUUCUCCGCGAAAAGGGACUAGAUCGGCUCCCAUUACUCGGGCGAAGAUUUUAUUUGGUUACUUUAACGAGGCCAACUCCGGUUCCCGAGCACGUCCGCCGCUUGACGUGAUUCGUGCUUUUGUUUCCUAACUUUCAAAUUUCCGCUGAAGCCCUUGCGAUCAACCGGACCGCCUCCGGUCCGGUUCGCGUAUAAAAGGAGAGUGGAAAAACCCUCAAGCCCACCUCCCGGCCGCCUCUGUUUCUCACGCAGUCGCGACCGAUGCUGCGACUACUCACCGCGACUUCUCGCCUCCGUCUUCUCACCGUGACCGACGCUUGCCGCUACCGGCUACCGACGCUUGCCGCGACCUCGCUGCACACCGCCACGUACGAUCUUUGUCCUAAUCACAUCUCAGGAGUUGCCUGUGGGAAUUUGGAAACUUCAAAUUUUAAAUUUCAACAAUGGGGAGGUUAUACAGUCUACUGUUGCCCAGCUGUCGCUCGUUUGUCUUCAGUGGCUAAUAAAGAGAGCAGUCAUCCUACAGAGGCUGUAGAGGAAUUAUAUCAGAAAAUGCUCAAAUCUGUUGAAGCUCAAACCAUGCCUCCAAAUGCUUGGUUGUGGUCUCUAAUCAGCAACUGUUUGAACCGAGAGGACAUAAAGCUUCUUUUCCAGAUAUUGCAGAAACUUCGAAUAUUUAGGCUAUCCAACCUUCGUAUACAUUCAAAUUUCAACUCUCAUCUUUGUAUGAGAGUUUCUGAGGCGUGCACUCGUGCGGAUGCCCUUGACUAUGGGUUAAAGGCUUUAUGGAAACAUAAUAUCUAUGGUUUAACUCCAAGCAUUGGUUCUGCUCAUUACUUACUGUCAUAUGCUAAAGAGCACAAUGAUGACAAACUAAUGGUAAAGAUUAUGCGGGUCUUGGAAAAGAACUCGAUGCCGCUUCAACCAGGUACCGCAGACAUAGUCUUCAGCAUUUGUCACAACACAAACAAAUGGGAUCUGAUUUCCAAGUAUUCAGCAAGGUUUCUCAAGGCUGGAGUAAAACUUCAUCAAACAGCAUUUGAUAUUUGGAUGGAAUUUGCUGCGAAAAUUGGAGAUGUUCAAUCUAUUUGGAAAAUUGGGAAGCUCAGAGAAAAAAUUGUAAAGCGACCAACACUUUCAAAUGGGUUUUCAUGUGCUAAGGGACAUCUGCUUGAACAUAACCCAGAGACUGCUGCUGCUACCAUUCAUAUUCUCUACAAGAACCUGCCAGAUCUGAAGAAGCCACAAGUCAUAGAUGAACUGCAGAAACUAAUUAGUCAAUGGCCACAGGAGGUUAUAAGGAAACAGAAGAAGGAAGACAAACAGGAAGGAAGGAGGAGAGAAGGAAGUAGGAGGAGAUGGAGGGAAGCCCUUUGGUUGACCUGAAUUAGUUCACUGAUCUGAACCAGUGCAGAAAAUUUAAAAAAAAAAUGAAGAUGGAUGCAAAUUGAUAAAAACAAAUUGGCAUUAAUUGAAGCCCUGAAAAGGGAUAUCCCUGACAUGGUCAGUUCUUUGUUAAACAUGGGGCUUGACGUUACUAUGGACCUAAAAGAACUCAGCAAACAAGAAGCAUGAAAUCCAGAGAAGAUGAGGAUUUUGCGUGUCACCUUGUUUUUUAAGUUAUCCAAAUAUUUUUUGUGUUGUAAUGCAUCUGGAUGUUUCGUUCCAACAAGUUGUAGAAAUUCGUUAUUUUUACUCACCUUUUUAACGAUAUAAUUCGAAAUUAUGUAGGAGUUGUAGGAUAAGCAAAUCCAUAUUGACUAUUUUGAUCGAAGGAAUGUUCAUCACAGUUUCUUUGUCGGUCAUAAUUCAUAAUAGUUCUUGCCCUUGAGAGUAGGGCUCGACUCCCACAAAUUGUACAAACAAUGAAUUGAAUUGGAAUUUGAAAAUCAUCAAAUAUGAAUGUGAUUUGUGUC